GCCGACGUGACGGAAUUGGUAAACGUAUCGCUACAGCCUCGAUUUCAUGGGUGCAGGUUCAACCCCUGCCGUCGGCU
rnacentral:tRNA from 1 species